rnacentral:rRNA from 1 species
CUGCUCAGUGAUAAAGGAUUAAAUAGCUGCAGAAUUUUAACUGUACUAAGGUAGCAUAAUAAAUAGUUUAUUAAUUGUGAACUUGAAUGAAUGAUUUGAUAAAAUAUUAACUGUUUCUUUUUAAAAAAUAAAAUUUUAAUUUUAAGUAAAAAUGCUUAAAUAAAUUUAAGGGACGAGAAGACCCUAUAGAUUUUUAUACUUAAGUUUAUUUAGAAGUUUAUUUAUUAUUUAAAUUAAUAUUAGGUAUUUUAAUGGGGAAUUAAGAAAAUAAUUAAAUUUUUUUUUUAAUUUACGUUGAUUAAUGGUUAAAAAAUUAAUAAUGAUUUUGUUAAUAGAAAUAAAAAUACCUUAGGGAUAACAGCAUAAUAAUUUUUUUAAGAUCAUAUUUUAAAAAUUGAUUGUGACCUCGAUGUUGAAUUAAAAUAAAAUUUAUAUGGAGAAAUAUAAGGUUU